rnacentral:rRNA from 1 species
CGUGUAGGCGGCCAGGCAAGUCAGAUGUGAAAGUCCCGGGCUCAACUCGGGAAGUGCAUUUGAAACUGUUUGGCUUGAGUAGGAGAGAGGAAAGUGGAAUUCCUGGUGUAGAGGUGAAAUUCGUAGAUAUCAGGAGGAACACCGGUGGCGAAGGCGGCUUUCUGGCUCUAUACUGACGCUGAGACGCGAAAGCGUGGGUAGCAAACAGGAUUAGAUACCCUGGUAGUCC